UAGAAACCCUAUUCGGUUUUCUCUCAGCUUUUGGCUCUCUUGCUCUCGGCCUCGCCAGUCGCCGCUGAUUCCUCUCCGACGAGAGGAAGAAUGGAGCAGAGGAUGUCGAGCACCUGGCGGUUGACGGUCAACGAGAAGAAGUUCAUUGAGACUGCGUUGCUUGCCGAUCUCCGGGUUGAUGGUCGCCGUCCCUUUGAUUACCGCCCUCUCUCGAUCAAGUUCGGGAGAGAGGAUGGUUCGUCCGAGGUCCAACUUGGUGAAACUCAUGUCAUGGGCUACGUGACUUCACAACUUGUUCAACCUUAUCGUGACAGGCCUAAUGAAGGAACACUUGCUAUAUAUACUGAAUUUUCACCAAUGGCUGAUCCUACUUUUGAGGCAGGUCGGCCUGGAGAGUCAGCAGUUGAGCUGGGUCGCGUGAUUGACCGUGGCCUGAGGGAAAGUAGAGCAGUGGAUAUGGAGUCCCUGUGCGUUGUUGCAGGGAAAUCAGUGUGGGCUGUUCGUGUGGAUCUCCACAUUCUUGAUAACGGAGGGAAUCUCAUAGAUGCAGCUAACAUAGCUGCUCUGGCUGCUCUUUCGACCUUUCGGAGGCCUGAAUGUACAGUUGGCGGAGAAGAUGGUCAGGAAGUUAUCAUGCAUCCACCUGAGGUUAGGGAACCAAUUCCUUUAACUAUUCACCAUCUUCCUGUGGCAGUAACCUUUGCAUUCUUUAGUGAAGGUAACAUCCUGGUAAUCGAUCCAACUUACAAGGAAGAGGCUGUCAUGGGUGGAAGGAUGACGGCUACCAUGAAUAUGAAUGGUGAUGUAUGUGCAGUCCAGAAGGCUGGUGGAGAAGGUGUGAUGAUGAGUGUCAUUAUGCAGUGUUUGCGGAUAGCUUCUAUGAAAGCUGCUGAUAUCACAAGUAAAAUAAAAAAUGCGGUAGAUGCAUACAACACUGAAAGAUCAUUGAGAAAUGUCAAACGCCAUCCAUCAUCAAUUGCAAUUGAUGUUGGUGUUUCAGAAGUUGCUAUGCAGGAGGAUCAAGUUGAUGAUCUUCAAAAAGAUGCACAAAUCUUGGAAGAUAAGUCGAGGGCAAGCUCUAGUGGCAAUAUUGGUCUCAUUGGAGUUGAAACCAGUUCAUCACGUAGAAGAGAGAAAAAAACUGGAGGCAAUAAUGGUGAACCAUUUAUUGGUGGCCCUUCUAAUUGGGAUCCAUACCCCAAAGAAAUUUCUUCCAGUUAUAUAAGGAGUUCUCAGGCUUUACCUGGCCCCUCAACCUUGAACGAUGAGCAAGAAGUUACAAAAAUGGCCCAAAAAUCGAGUCUGUCCCAUGUUGAUACAGCAGCAAAUGUAAGUGAUGCUCCAACUGAGACGAUCACAAGUAUGAACCCGCAAACAAGUUCACCAAAAAGUCUGAAAGAUGCUGUGAAAAAGAAAAAUAGGAAAAGGAGGUAAUGGAGUAUCUGCUAGUGACAUCACAGCUAAUUUUCACGAGUGGUGGGCAAUAAAGUCCACCCAUCAGGUAUUUGUUGCGUCAUUGGGUGCGGAUUCGGAAUCGGGGAAUCAGAAAAUAGAGAACCUGAAUUUUUUUUUUCUCAUUUAUAAAGGCUUUGUGAAACAAAUGUUAUGAAGCUAGCUUUUAUCAUUAGAGGAGAGGCACAGUUUAAGGUCCCAGGGCUUGAUAGAAGCUCAUGUUUAUUCAGUGAAGUAUGUACUGUAAGAGUUGAAUUAUUUUACACACAAUAUCAAAGACCAUGAAAUACUUUUUUGUUUAA